rnacentral:rRNA from 1 species
UGCCAGCCGCCGCGGUAAUACGGAGGGUGCAAGCGUUGUUCGGAAUUAUUGGGCGUAAAGCGUGCGUAGGCGGAUUGUUAAGUCGUUUGUGAAAAUCCGGGGCUCAACCCCGUGAAAUGCAAGCGAUACUGGCAGACUGGAGAUCGGUAGAGGCUAGCGGAAUUCCUGGUGUAGCGGUGGAAUGCGUGGAUAUCAGGAAGAACACCCGUGGCGAAGGCGGCUAGCUGGGCCGAGUCUGACACUCAUCCGCGAAAGCGUGGGGAGCAAACAGGAUUAGAUA